AGGGGACGCACGCGGGGACGCUGGGGGACGUGGGGGCGCCGAGGGACUUGGAGGGCGCCGAGGGACGUGGGGGCGCUGAGGGACGUUGGGGGUGCUGAGGGGACGCCCGCAGGGGCCGCUGAGGGACGUGGGAGUGUUGAGACACAGACACAGGAAGCAUCAACUCUGAGGCUUUGGCCAGGAUGUGAGCCCGACUUUCGCAGCCCCAACUGGCAGGCUGACCUCAUGUGAACUCCCUGGCGAUGGCAUCCUGGAGACACCCACAUGGCUGAGCUGGCACCAUAGGUGAGGCCACUUCCUGCGAAGGUAGCUGGAUGCUCCUGCCUGGAGCUGCCCCCGGACCACAGAGCAUCCAGGAGAUGAAUGCACUUCCAGCCCCGCCACCCUGGGGAGAUAUACAGCUGAGGUGGCAGCUUUGGAGCAAGCAGGGCAGAGAUGCUUCCCCCUGAGGUCCCUCCCAGCUCUGCUACCUUGUCACUCAAGCACUCAUAAUCCAGGUUCAGUUUCUGCCAGCACUAAUUUGGUUUAUUCCACAUGGCUGGAGCCACUGCGGGACUCCAUUU
rnacentral:lncRNA from 1 species